rnacentral:rRNA from 1 species
GCGAGGUGGUGCAAUCCUAGAAAAUUCUUCGUAGUCCGGAUUGGAGUCUGCAACUCGACUCCAUGAAGUCGGAAUCGCUAGUAAUCGCGAAUCAGCAUGUCGCGGUGAAUACGUUCUCGGGUCUUGUACACCACCGCCCGUCAUACCAUGGAAGUGGAUUGCACCAGAAGUAGAUAGUCUAACCUUAGGGAGGGCGUUUACCACGGUGUGCUUCAUGACUGGGGUAAAGUCGUAACAAGGUAGCCGUAGGGGAACCUGUGGCUGGAUCACCUCCUU